AUGAACCUCAGCGACAACCUCAUUGUGUACUCUAACACGGUCAUCUCGCGAUGCACGUUUGGUGACACGGACUACGGGGUCGAAGGCGGCGGCGGCGGCGGCGCGAGGCUGAGGAAGGUGUUCGCCGAGAUCGAGGAGCUCCUGGGCACGGUGCCCAUGGGAGAGACGGUGCCGUGCCUGCGGUGGGUGGACGUCGUCACAGGGCUGGAGAAGAAGACGAGACGCGUCUUCGACGAGAUGGACGGGCUGCUGGAGCGUGUCAUCGCCGACCACCGCCAGCGCCGCGGCGCGGGUGCGGCCACCGGGGAGGAGGGAGACUUCGUGGACGUGAUGCUGGACGCGGAAGAGCUGGACACGGGCAGCAUCAAGGGCAUUAUCCUGGACAUGCUGGCGGCCGCCACGGACUCGACCUUCACGCUGCUGGAAUGGGCCAUGGCGGAGCUCAUCAACCACCCGCACGAGAUGCGCAAGCUACAGGACGAGGUCCGCGCGGCAGUCGGCCCGGGCGCCGGCGCCGUCGUCACGGAGGAGCAUCUCCCCCGCCUGCCCUACCUGAAGGCGGUGGUGAAGGAGGCCCUGCGCCUCCACCCGCCGACGCCGCUGCUCCUGCCGCGGGAGACGCUGGAGAACACGCGGCUGCUGGGGGUCCUGAUCCACGCCUGGGCCAUCGGGCACGACCCGGCGACAUGGGGGAGCCGCGCCAAGGAGUUCGCGCCGGAGAGGUUCCUCGGGUACGAUCUCAAGAUGGGGCAGGACUUCGCCUUCUUGCCCUUCGGCGCCGGGAGGAGGGGCUGCCCCGGCGUCGGGUUCGCCAUGAUGUCCAACGAGCUGGCGCUGGCAAGCCUCGUGUGUAACUUCGACUGGGAGCUGCCUGGCGGGAGGAUGCCGCCGGUGGACUUGAGCGAGCUGCACGGCCUCUCCGUGCGCCUCAAGGCGCCUCUGCUUUUGGUUGCCAAACCUUGGAUGGAGGUGCACGAACGAAGCAAUUAA
rnacentral:rRNA from 1 species